CUGCUGUAUGGAACAAGAACAAGUAGCACCGUUUCUUCUUUGCAGAUAUUUGAAAGAAGAUGGACCAUCAACAGACAAAUCCUGGGGGCCAAAGUGUUUAGAGACCAGGAGCAGUUGACGCGGCUCAACAAUAUCAUGUGGCCAGUGAUGGCUCGAAUAGCAAAAGAAAGAUAGACGAGGCAGCUGCACAGGGAAACGUCGUGUGUGUGCUGGAUGCAGCCUUGUUGUUGGAGGCAGGCUGGGCAGACUUGGUGCACGAGGUCUGGACGGUUAUCA